GGGCUUGGUAAACGUUAGGACUGUGAAAUAACACUGAAACUCUCCUCUCCUGCUCCGUGGAGUCGUCAUCAUGUAAAAGCUGCGUGUUUGUGAGCGUUUCUGCCUGUUUGCUGGGUGGUGUUGGUUAGCUAGCUAGCAGGCUAGCUGUGCCUGCAGGACUGUUGUUAGGUUAGCGUAGUUUGCUUUAGCUUAGCAUUAAAUUAGCUUAGCUUAGCCUGGCUGGUUACCGUUAUGGCUAUGAGACUGCAGCCGAGGUGACUGAUGGAUUGAGGAGCCAGUGCUGCGGGCUUUGGGUAAGCGUGCCUUAAUUGGAUGGGCGCUAGCUUGUGCUAAGCUAAUGCUGCUGCUGCUGCUGCUGCUGGUGGAGUUGAUGAUUCAAAAAUGUCUUGUGUGUGUGUGUGUGUAAAUGCCAUUACUCUGCAAAUCGCAAAUAUCAGCACAGUUACAACACUUCUCAACCAAUCAGAUGGUGAGGUCGGAACUAGCUGUUGUGUAAAAAUGCAUGAUAUAGAGGUAUAGAGGUGUGGCUGGAGGUGCUUUCCUCUGUGCCUGCUGUAACUCCAUUAGCUGUGAAUUAGACAGUAUAGCAGCAAACAGUGUGCUGAGUCUUAUCCCUGUGCGUUACUCUGCAGAGCUGCUGUGCCGUGAGGAAGUGUCAGGCUUACAGAAGCAGAGUUAUCAGCACGUACCAUCUUGCCCUGCUUCCACCUGCUCCCAUGAGCUUCUGGGCAGCAGUGUUGGCACCGUCGCUGCUGGCCCGUGUUGGCCCUGCCUGUCACAUGCCUCCCCUCCGGACCCCGUUCACACCUCAACCAUCUUCUCACAGUCGCGGGGAGAGAGAGAGGGAGAGACAGAGACAGGAAAAGAGACUGAUGUCACUUUACAUUGUGAACUCCAUACAUCUGCAUGUAUUCAUCUACGAUAAUGACGAUAAACACCGGAUACUGAUACACAACGCGCCGCGCUGCUUUAAUUACUAGCGCUGAAGGGAACAGAACAGAGUGCUGAUGGCGUGGAAAACGAGGUAGAAAAAGCCAGAGCAGACGCGUUUAUUUAUAUCCAGACUGCAUAUAAUAUAUUUCUCUCCCUCACUUAUGAUUCUCCAGGUAUCGAACCGUAAUUUCAGGUGACGGUUGGACGUCAUAAAUCUCACGCUGAUGAUUCACGGUGGGCGGCAGAGGAAAG
rnacentral:lncRNA from 1 species